GUGGAUUAGAUACCCUGGUAGUCCACACAGUAAACGAUGGAUACUCGCUGCCGGCGAUAGACAGUCGGUGGCUUAGCGAAAGCGUUAAGUAUCCCACCUGGGGAGUACGCCGGCAACGGUGAAACUCAAAGGAAUUGACGGGGGCCCGCACAAGCGGAGGAACAUGUGGUUUAAUUCGAUGAUACGCGAGGAACCUUACCCAGGCUCGAACGGCAAGUCGACAGGAUAGAGAGACCUAUCCCUUCUUCGGACGACUUGUUGAGGUGCUGCAUGGUCGUCGCCAACU
rnacentral:rRNA from 1 species